CCUACGGGUGGCAGCAGUAGGGAAUCUUCCACAAUGGGCGCAAGCCUGAUGGAGCAACACCGCGUGAGUGAAGAAGGGUUUCGGCUCGUAAAGCUCUGUUGGUGGAGAAGAACGUGCGCGAGAGUAACUGUUCACGCAGUGACGGUAUCAAACAAGAAAGUCACGGCUAACUACGUGCCAGCAGCCGCGGUAAUACGUAGGUGGCAAGCCUUAGUCGGAAUUACUGGGCGUAAAGCGAGCGCAGGCGGUAGCUUAGGUCUGAUGUGAAAGCCUUGGGCUUAACCGGAGAAGUGCAUCGGAAACCGGGCAACUUGAGUGCAGGAGAGGACAGUUGAACUCCAUGUGUAGCUGUGGAAUGCGUAGAUAUAUGGAAGAACACCAGUGGCGAAGGCGACUGUCUGGUACGCAACUGACGCUGAGGCUCGAAAGCGUGGGUAGCGAACAGGAUUAGAUACCCUUGUAGUC
rnacentral:rRNA from 1 species